UACGAAGGGGGCUAGCGUUGCUCGGAAUCACUGGGCGUAAAGCGCACGUAGGCGGCUUUUUAAGUCAGGGGUGAAAUCCUGGAGCUCAACUCCAGAACUGCCUUUGAUACUGAGAAGCUUGAGUCCGGGAGAGGUGAGUGGAACUGCGAGUGUAGAGGUGAAAUUCGUAGAUAUUCGCAAGAACACCAGUGGCGAAGGCGGCUCACUGGCCCGGUACUGACGCUGAGAUGCGAAAGCGUGGGGAGCAAACAGGAUUAAGAAACCCU
rnacentral:rRNA from 1 species